rnacentral:rRNA from 1 species
UACGAAGGGGGCUAGCGUUGCUCGGAAUCACUGGGCGUAAAGGGUGCGUAGGCGGGUUUUUAAGUCAGGGGUGAAAUCCUGGAGCUCAACUCCAGAACUGCCUUUGAUACUGAAGAUCUUGAGUCCGGGAGAGGUGAGUGGAGCUGCGAGUGUAGAGGUGAAAUUCGUAGAUAUUCGGAAGAACACCAGUGGCGAAGGCGGCUCACUGGCCCGUUACCGACGCUCAGGCGCGACAGCGUGGGGAGCAAAGCAGG